rnacentral:rRNA from 1 species
AGUGAACGCUGGCGGUAGGCCUAACACAUGCAAGUCGAACGGCAGCACAGAGGAGCUUGCUCCUUGGGUGGCGAGUGGCGGACGGGUGAGGAAUACAUCGGAAUCUACUCUGUCGUGGGGGAUAACGUAGGGAAACUUACGCUAAUACCGCAUACGACCUACGGGUGAAAGCAGGGGAUCUUCGGACCUUGCGCGAUUGCAUGAGCCGAUGUGGGAUUAGCUAGUUGGAGGGGUACAGGCCCACCAAGGCGACGAUCCGUAGCUGGUCUGAGGGGAUGAUCGGCCACACUGGAACUGAGAAACGGUCCAGACUCCUACGGGAGGCAGCAGGAGGGAAUAUUGGACAAUGGGCGCAAGCCUGAUCCAGCCAUACCGCGUGGGUGAAGAAGGCCUUCGGGUUGUAAAGCCCUUUUGUUGGGAAAGAAAUCCAGCUGGCUAAUAACCGGUUGGGAUGACGGUACCCAAAGAAUAAGCACCGGCUAACUUCGUGCCAGCCGCCGCCGUAA